ACAGUCUUUAAUAUUCUCCUGUAAGCCUGAACCAACCUGCUGCAUCAAGAGAGAUUCCAUUAUUACAUAUCACUAUUAAAUAUCCUAAAGCUGCUCCAAGCAGCAGCUCUACAAUGCACUGUGGUAUACAGAACUCAUUCCUUCAUGAAGAAUGACUUCUAGAGAGACAUGCUGAUGUUACUGUGAACUUCCAUAGUCAAAAUGGAUCCCAUUGCAAGAUCUGAAUAGGACAUUGUCACACAGAUAAAUGAUCUUAGCAACAGUGAAGAAAAAGCUCUUGAAAAGGCUCCACCUGGAUCCUGUACUCUGCCUGCCUUGUAUCUAAUGCAGAUACCUCACAUGAAGAAAUUUAAGAAAAUGGCUCCUGAAUGCAGUGUUCACAGUCAGACCUGGCCACAACAGAAGCACUGAAGGAUAAUUUCUUGAAAAGCAAGAUCAGCAGGGGCUUUUUUUUCCUGAU
rnacentral:lncRNA from 1 species